rnacentral:tRNA from 1 species
GCCGGGAUCGCAUAAUGGUAGUGCACGAGCCUGGAGAGCUCGGCCUCUCACGAGGCUUGCAGGUUCGAUUCCUGCUCCCGGCG